UUUAAUGGAAGAUAGCCUAAGUUCGCCACGUCCUGUGGCAACGGCUACAUAACCAACUUCCUGUUGG
rnacentral:sRNA from 1 species